rnacentral:tRNA from 1 species
UGCCGGUUGGUAUAAUGGGCUAGCAUCUUGGUUUUGUAAUCCAAGGAUAUCGGUUCGAGUCCGGUACCGGCAUCA